GGUUGUUAAGCAGCGAGGUAGCAGUCGGUUGUUAAGCAGCGAGGUAGCAGUCGGUUGUUAAGCAGCGAGGUAGCAGUCGGUUGUUAAGCAGCGAGGUAGCAGUCGGUUGUUAAGCAGCGAGGUAGCAGUCGGUUGUUAAGCAGCGAGGUAGCAGUCGGUUGUUAAGCAGCGAGGUAGCAGUCGGUUGUUAAGCAGCGAGGUAGCAGUCGGUUGUUAAGCAGCGAGGUAGCAGUCGGUUGUUAAGCAGCGAGGUAGCAGUCGGUUGUUAAGCAGCGAGGUAGCAGUCGGUUGUCAAGCAGCAAGGUAGCAGUCGGUUGUUAAGCAGCAAGGUAGCAGUCGGUUGUUAAGCAGGUAAGCAGCAAGGUAGCAGUCGGUUGUUAAGCAGCAAGGUAGCAGUCGCUUGUUAAGCAGCAAGGUAGCAGUCGGUUGUUAAGCAGGUUAGCAGCAAGGUAGCAGUCGGUUGUUAAGCAGGUUAGCAGCAAGGUAGCAGUCGGUUGUUAAGCAGCAAGGUAGCAGUCGGUUGUUAAGCAGCAAGGUAGCAGUCGGUUGUUAAGCAGGUUAGCAGCAAGGUAGCAGUCGGUUGUUAAGCAGGUUAGCAGCAAUGUAGGAGUCGGUUGUCACAGUUUUCCUCACCCUGUUUGUUAGUGUGUGAAAUUGUGAGUGAACAAGUUCACUUAUAUGGUAAAACAGAGACACUGGUUCUAUGUUCCAGUUCCCUUUAACAGUCCUGAUGUGCUAGGACCUACGCUGCAGAGGCCCAGUUAACCUUCCUGAUUCAGAUCCAGCCGUUCAUGCAUGUCAGGU